rnacentral:rRNA from 1 species
UACGAAGGGUGCAAGCGUUAUUCGGAAUCACUGGGCGUAAAGGGUGCGUAGACGGUAUGUUAAGUUCGUCGUUAAAGGCUCCGGCCUGACCGGAGUACCGCGAUGAAAACUGGCGUACUAGAGGGUGAGAGAGAGAAGUGGAAUUCCUGGGGUAGCGGUAAAAUGCGUGGAUCUCAGGAGGAACACCAAUGGCGAAGGCAGCUUCUUGGCUCAUUCCUGACGUUGAGGCGCGAAAGCGUGGGGAGCAAACAGG